AGCGGCAGGCCUAAUACAUGCAAGUCGAACGGGUGUAGCAAUACACUAGUGGCGCACGGGUGCGUAACACGUAACUAACCUACCUAUAACUGGGGGAUAGCCCGCCGAAAGGCGGAUUAAUACCGCAUAAGCUAGUUGACCCGGCAUCGGGUUAUUAGUAAAGAUUUAUUGGUUAUAGAUGGGGUUGCGGGUCAUUAGCUAGUUGGUAAGGUAACGGCUUACCAAGGCGACGAUGACUAGGGGAGCUGAGAGGCUGGUCCCCCACACGGGCACUGAGAUACGGGCCCGACUCCUACGGGAGGCAGCAGUAGGGAAUAUUGGGCAAUGGGCGAGAGCCUGACCCAGCCAUGCCGCGUGCAGGAAGAAGGCUUUCUGAGUCGUAAACUGCUUUUGACAGGGAAGAAUAACCUUUACGUGUAGAGGGAUGACGGUACCUGCAGAAUAAGCACCGGCUAACUCCGUGCCAGCAGCCGCGGUAAUACGGAGGGUGCGAGCGUUGUCCGGAUUUAUUGGGUUUAAAGGGUGCGUAGGCGGCCCGUUAAGUCCGGGGUGAAAGCCCGCUGCUCAACAGCGGAACUGCCCUGGAUACUGACGGGCUUGAGUACAGACGAGGUUGGCGGAAUGGACCGAGUAGCG
rnacentral:rRNA from 1 species